rnacentral:rRNA from 1 species
AUGAUAGAUGAGCUACUCGAUGAACUCCAUGGUGCACAAUGGUUUACAAAACUGGAUCUCAGGGCUGGAUAUCACCAAAUAAGGCUAGCACCUGGAGAAGAAUAUAAGACAGCUUUUCAAACUCACCAUGAGCAUUUUGAAUUUCUAGUUAUGGGUUUUGGUUUGAUAGGAGCUCCAAACACCUUUCAGGGGGGCCAUUAA